CGUUCUCUCAUCCCAAGGUUUUACUGGACUCUUUUUGGACUGUUCUUUUUAUAUAUAUAUAUAGAGCAGUCCAAAAAGAGUCCAGUAAAACCUUGGGAUGAGAUAUAUA
rnacentral:miRNA from 1 species